UGGAGCUACUUCUCACCAACUGUGGUC
rnacentral:piRNA from 1 species